GACGAACGCUGGCGGCGUGCCUAAUACAUGCAAGUAGAACGAGUUGCGAACGGGUGAGUAACGCGUGGUAACCUGCCUCAUAGCGGGGAAUAACUAUUGGAAACGCUAGCUAAUACCGCAUACUUUGAGUUGGACCUGUGUUGUAUUAGCUAGUUGGUGAGGUAAAGGCUCACCAAGGCGACGAUCCCUAGCUGGUCUGCGAGGAUGACCAGCCACACUGGAACUGAGACACGGUCCAGACUCCUACGGGAGGCAGCAGUGGGGAAUAUUGCACAAUGGGCGCAAGCCUGAUGCAGCAAUGCCGCGUGUAUGAAGAAGGCCUUCGGGUUGUAAAGUACUGUCAGCGAGGAGGCGUUACUCGAAGAAGAAGCACCGGCUAACUCCGUGCCAGCAGCCGCGGUAAUAC
rnacentral:rRNA from 1 species